rnacentral:rRNA from 1 species
GAACGAACGUUGGCGGCGUGGAUGAGGCAUGCAAGUCGAACGCGAAAGUCCUUCGGGGCGAGUAGAGUGGCGGACGGGUGAGUAACGCGCGGGAAUCUACCCUAGAGCGGGGGACAACCCGGGGAAACCCGGGCUAAUACCGCAUACGUCCUACGGGAGAAAGAGGGCCUCUGCUUGCACGCUCUCACUCCAGGAUGAGCCCACGUCCGAUUAGCUAGUUGGUAGGGUAAAGGCCUACCAAGGCCACGAUCGGUAGCUGGUCUGAGAGGAUGAUCAGCCACACUGGGACUGAGACACGGCCCAGACUCCUACGGGAGGCAGCAGUGGGGAAUAUUGGACAAUGGGGGAAACCCUGAUCCAGCAAUGCCGCGUGUGUGAAGAAGGCCUGCGGGUUGUAAAGCACUUUUGGCAGGGAAGAAAAGCACUGGCCGAAUACGCCAGUGUGUUGACGUAACCUGCAGAAGAAGCACCGGCUAACUCUGUG